AUGUCCCUGCUGACUGCCCCUCCAGCCGUCCUGCUGUCGGCUACCCGCAGCUGGUAUCACGUUCUCUCCCGGAGAUGGUCACAACGAAUAACCUUUCUUAAGAAAACUUUGCAUAUGCCACGCUUUGCCACACGCCGGCCGGUCACGGCGACCCGCGGCGCACUCCCCGCGGGGCAGCCCCGGGCCGACCGGCAGAGGAAGCAUCGGAUUCCGCUGCCCGCCUUCCCUUUCCCUUUCCUCUUUCGCCGUCCCUCUUCCUCCUUCUCCUUCCGGGCAGCCGCGCAGCCGCAGCCGCGGCGCCGGGGCCGGAGCGCUCCGAGCGCCGCUGGUGCCGACCCGGGCCCGGGCCCCGCCGGGGCCAUGGCGCGCUGCCCGCGCCGGGCGCUGGGCGCGGCGGGGCCGCUGCUGCCGCUGCUCUGCGCGCUGCUCCGCGCCGCCGCCGACACCAGCACCGGCCGGGGUUGGUUAAAAACUUAUGGCUACUUACUUCCAUCUGACAGCCAAAUGUCUCCCUUGCAGUCAGGAAAAGCUGUGCAGUCUGCAGUUGCCACUAUGCAACAGUUUUAUGGAAUCCCAGUAACAGGAGUUUUGGACCAGACAACUAUUGAGUGGAUGAAGAAGCCUCGCUGUGGAGUUCCGGAUCAUCCCCACCUGCGCCGCAGCCGGAGGAAAAAGCGGUAUGCACUCACGGGCCAGAAGUGGAGACAGAAGCACAUAACCUACAGUGUCCACAACUACACCCCCAAGGUUGGCGAGAUUGAUACGAGGAGAGCCAUUCGUCAGGCCUUUGAUGUUUGGCAGAGAGUGACACCACUUACCUUUGAAGAGGUUCCUUACCAUGAAAUUAAGAAUGACAGAAAGGAGGCAGAUAUUAUGAUCUUUUUUGCUUCUGGUUUCCACGGAGACAGUUCUCCAUUUGAUGGAGAAGGUGGAUUCCUGGCUCAUGCUUACUUUCCUGGACCAGGAAUUGGAGGAGACACUCACUUUGACUCAGAUGAGCCAUGGACCCUGGGAAAUUCUAAUCAUGAUGGACAUACCUACUUAACGCUGGUUUCAUCCUGUAGCUGCUUGGAGAGAGACUCCAUCCCAUAAGCCGGAGCUCUCUCACAUCCUGUGCUAAUGUUGAACAGAUUUGAGCAAGGAUAUAGACACAUGAUUUCAAGAAAGCCAGCCACAGUAAAAAGAAAUCAAAUCAGGCAGCUUAAAUCAGCAGCAGUUUGAGAUUGCACCCCUGUCCUGUCAACCUGAAGGAGAAGAGAGGAAGCCCAUCAGCACAUGGGGAAGAUUUCUGUCUUCACAUUCUCCUCUCCACCCCUGGACAGCCUCUCUAGAGUGAAAUACUCUGGGAUUCACAGGAAAGAGCCAGUAAGAACCAAAAUGGUGUGUCAUUCCCUUAAAAAGGAAGGGAAAAAAAAGUGUGGAAAAAAAACAGGUCACAAGAAUCAAGAUAGAAAAGCUGUUUUCCACAGAAUUCCACAGAGCACUAUCACCCUUUCUUCAGGGUCUUCAGAAGAUUGGAAAGCUUUCCUUGAGCAGAGCGUGUCGUGGAGGUGAAUGGAGGAGCACAGACAAAUCACAUGUUCUUCUGCUGGACAGCUCAGACCUACCUCAGGUCUGAAGAUGCAAGAACCAAGGCAUAGCUUAGAGUAGCCCUAAAGCUUCUUUAAGUUGUGCUUGGGCAACAGUUGUCUCUACAUGGCUGUUGGGGUAGAAGGAACAUAAGCAUGUUUAGUUCACGCCAUCUCCUCUGUAACUACCUGAGCCAUGCUAUUGUCACACACAGUCAAUCAUCUGACUUCUUAAGGAUCAUUCUUACUUUAAUAAAAUUUCAAAAUACAACCCUCA